AUGAGAAGCCCGGAGAGCAUCAGCCCGCUCCUCACCCGCUACGCCACCUCGCAGUCUCUGCUCCUGGGAGCCCACAUCCACGCCCACCUCCUCAAGUCCGGCCUCCUCGGCGCCUUCCGCAACCACCUCCUCUCCUUCUACUCCAAGUGCCGCCUCCCCGGCAGCGCCCGCAGGGUGUUCGACGAAACCCCGGACCCGUGCCACGUCUCCUGGUCCUCGCUCGUCACCGCCUACUCCAACAAUGCGCUGCCCCGGGACGCGCUCGCGGCGUUCCGGGCCAUGCGCGCGCGCGGUGUCCGCUGCAACGAGUUCGCGCUCCCCAUCGUGCUCAAGUGCGCGCCGGACGCCGGGCUCGGCGUGCAGGUGCACGCGGUCGCGGUCUCCACGGGGCUCAGCGGGGACAUCUUCGUCGCCAACGCGCUCGUCGCCAUGUACGGUGGGUUUGGCUUUGUGGACGAGGCGAGGAGGGUGUUCGACGAGGCCGCCCGCGACCGGAAUGCCGUAUCUUGGAACGGCCUGAUGUCGGCUUUCGUCAAGAAUGACCGAUGCAGCGAUGCUGUCGAGCUGUUUGGCGAGAUGGUGUGGGGCGGGGUGCGGCCGAACGAGUUUGGAUUCUCCUGUGUCGUGAAUGCCUGCACUGGCUCUAGGGAUCUGGAAGCCGGCAGGAAGGUGCACGCCAUGGUGGUACGGACGGGGUAUGACAAGGACGUCUUCACUGCCAAUGCGUUGGUUGACAUGUAUUCGAAGCUGGGGGACAUUCAUAUGGCAGCAGCUGUUUUUGGGAAGGUACCCAAGACGGAUGUCGUCUCGUGGAAUGCUUUCAUUUCUGGGUGUGUGCUUCAUGGACAUGAUCAGCAUGCACUGGAGCUGUUGCUGCAGAUGAAGUCUUCAGGUCUGGUGCCUAACGUGUUCACGUUGUCCAGCAUCCUGAAGGCCUGCCCUGGUGCUGGUGCAUUCACUCUGGGCCGGCAAAUUCACGGGUUCAUGAUCAAAUCCUGUGCGGGUUCAGAUGACUAUAUCGGUGUUGGUCUUGUGGAUAUGUAUGCAAAGUAUGAUCUUUUGGAUGAUGCGAGGAAGGUGUUCGACUGGAUCCCUCGAAAGGAUUUGGUUUUGUGGAAUGCACUGAUCUCAGGUUGCUCUCAUGGAGGAUGCCAUGGCGAGGCACUGUCUCUCUUUUGCAGGAUGAGGAAGGAAGGUUUUGACAUCAGUAGGACGACCCUGGCUGCUGUUCUCAAGUCAACAGCAAGCUUGGAGGCAAUCAGUGACACAACGCAGGUUCAUGCUGUUGCAGAGAAGAUAGGGUUCCUUUCUGAUUCUCAUGUUGUCAAUGGUCUUAUUGAUUCAUAUUGGAAGUGCAAUUGCCUCCAUUAUGCAAAUAGAAUGUUCAAAGAACACAGUUCUGAUAACAUCAUAGCUUUUACAUCAAUGAUCACAGCACUCUCGCAGCGUGACCAUGGCGAAGAUGCAAUAAAGUUGUUCAUGGAGAUGCUAAGAAAGGGUCUCGAGCCAGACCCCUUUGUGCUAAGUAGCCUCCUGAAUGCUUGUGCUAGCUUGUCAGCAUAUGAGCAAGGGAAGCAAGUGCAUGCUCACCUGAUCAAGAGGAAAUUCAUGACAGAUGUGUUUGCAGGGAAUGCUCUUGUGUACACAUAUGCAAAGUGCGGGAGCAUAGAGGAUGCAGAUCUGGCCUUCUCCGGACUGCCGGAGAAGGGAGUUGUCUCAUGGUCUGCAAUGAUAGGAGGGCUAGCACAACAUGGGCAUGGGAAGAGAGCAUUAGAUGUGUUCCGCAGGAUGGUUGAUGAGCGCAUUGCUCCAAACCAUAUCACGCUGACUAGUGUUCUCUGUGCUUGUAACCAUGCAGGGCUUGUUGAUGAGGCCAAGCGAUACUUCAGUUCAAUGAAGGAGAUGUUUGGAGUUGACAGGACGGAGGAGCAUUACUCAUGCAUGAUUGAUCUUCUCGGUCGUGCCGGUAAACUAGAUGACGCAAUGGAGCUUGUCAACAGCAUGCCGUUUCAAGCCAAUGCUGCAGUUUGGGGGGCACUACUUGCAGCCUCAAGAGUACACCGAGAUCCAGAACUGGGAAAGCUGGCAGCUGAAAAGCUCUUCAUCCUGGAGCCGGAGAAGUCGGGCACACAUGUGUUGCUCGCAAACACGUAUGCAUCUGCAGGCAUGUGGGACGAGGUGGCUAAGGUGAGAAAAUUGAUGAAAGAGAGUAAGGUCAAGAAGGAGCCUGCCAUGAGCUGGGUUGAAUUGAAGGACAGGGUGCAUACUUUCAUUGUGGGUGACAAGAGCCACCCAAGGGCAAGGGACAUAUACGCAAAGCUAGAAGAACUGGGAGAUCUGAUGAGCAAAGCUGGUUAUGUUCCGAAUCUAGAGGUUGAUCUCCAUGAUGUAGACAAGAGCGAAAAGGAGUUGCUUCUUUCUCAUCACAGUGAGAGGCUGGCCGUCGCAUUUGCGUUGAUCAGCACCCCACCUGGAGCGCCCAUUAGGGUCAAGAAAAACCUGCGCAUAUGCAGAGAUUGCCACGUCGCAUUCAAGUUCAUUUCAAAUAUCGUUUCAAGGGAGAUUAUCAUCAGAGACAUCAACAGGUUCCAUCAUUUCAGUGAUGGGGCAUGUUCUUGCGGUGAUUACUGGUAA
rnacentral:rRNA from 1 species